rnacentral:rRNA from 1 species
ACUUGUACCGACUGGAUGAGCAGCGAACGGGUGAGUAACGCGUGGGGAAUCUGCCUUUGAGCGGGGGACAACAUUUGGAAACGAAUGCUAAUACCGCAUAAAAACUUUAAACACAAGUUUUAAGUUUGAAAGAUGCAAUUGCAUCACUCAAAGAUGAUCCCGCGUUGUAUUAGCUAGUUGGUGAGGUAAAGGCUCACCAAGGCGAUGAUACAUAGCCGACCUGAGAGGGUGAUCGGCCACAUUGGGACUGAGACACGGCCCAAACUCCUACGGGAGGCAGCAGUAGGGAAUCUUCGGCAAUGGACGAAAGUCUGACCGAGCAACGCCGCGUGAGUGAAGAAGGUUUUCGGAUCGUAAAACUCUGUUGGUAGAGAAGAACGUUGGUGAGAGUGGAAAGCUCAUCAAGUGACGGUAACUACCCAGAAAGGGACGGCUAACUACGUGCCAGCAGCCGCGGUAAUACGUAGGUCCCGAGCGUUGUCCGGAUUUAUUGGGCGUAAAGCGAGCGCAGGUGGUUUAUUAAGUCUGGUGUAAAAGGCAGUGGCUCAACCAUUGUAUGCAUUGGAAACUGGUAGACUUGAGUGCAGGAGAGGAGAGUGGAAUUCCAUUGGUAGCGGG